AGUGAACGCUGGCGGUAGGCCUAACACAUGCAAGUCGAACGGCAGCACAGGAGAGCUUGCUCUCUGGGUGGCGAGUGGCGGACGGGUGAGGAAUACAUCGGAAUCUACUCUGUCGGGGGGGAUAACGUAGGGAAACUUACGCUAAUACCGCAUACGACCUACGGGUGAAAGCAGGGGAUCUUCGGACCUUGCGCGAUUGAAUGAGCCGAUGUCGGAUUAGCUAGUUGGCGGGGUAAAGGCACACAAAGGCGACGAUCCGUAGCUGGUAUGAGAGGAUGAUCAGCCACACUGGAACUGAGACACGGUCCAGACUCCUACGGGAGGCAGCAGUGGGGAAUAUUGGACAAUGGGCGCAAGCCUGAUCCAGCCAUACCGCGUGGGUGAAGAAGGCCUUCGGGUUGUAAAGCCCUUUUGUUGGGAAAGAAAUCCAGCUGGCUAAUACCCGGUUGGGAUGACGGUACCCAAAGAAUAAGCACCGGCUAACUUCGUGCCAGCCGCCGCCGUAA
rnacentral:rRNA from 1 species